GCCAGUGUGGCAUAGUGGUUUGUGUAUCAGAAUACAACUCUGGAGAUCAGGGUUUGAUUCCCUGCUUGGCCA